rnacentral:rRNA from 1 species
CUUGACAUACCGAUGACAGGUCUAGAGAUAGAGUUUCCCUUUUAGGGCAUCGGAUACAGGUGGUGCAUGGUUGUCGUCAGCUCGUGUCGUGAGAUGUUGGGUUAAGUCCCGCAACGAGCGCAACCCCUAUUGUUAGUUGCCAUCAUUAAGUUGGGCACUCUAGCGAGACUGCCAGUAAUAAACUGGAGGAAGGUGGGGAUGACGUCAAAUCAUCAUGCCCCUUAUGACCUGGGCUACACACGUGCUACAAUGGGAAGUACAACGAGUUGCGAGGCGGUGACGCCAAGCUAAUCUCUUAAAGCUUCUCUCAGUUCGGAUUGUAGGCUGCAACUCGCCUACAUGAAGUCGGAAUCGCUAGUAAUCGCGGAUCAGCACGCCGCGGUGAAUACGUUCCCGGGCCUUGUACACACCGCCCGUCACACCACGAGAGUUUGUAACACCCGAAGUCGGUGAGGUAACCGUAAGGAGCCAACCGCCUAAGGUGGGAUAGAUGAUUGGGGUGAAGUCGUAACAAGGUAAGCGUAGAUGA